GGGGAAUCUUGCGCAAUGGGCGAAAGCCUGACGCAGCAACGCCGCGUGUGUGAUGAAGGUCUUCGGAUCGUAAAGCACUGUCGCGAGGGACGAAUAAGGGCCGGGUGAACAAUCCGGUUCGAUGACGGUACCUCGAGAGGAAGCCCCGGCUAACUCUGUGCCAGCAGCCGCGGUAAUACAGAGGGUGCAAGCGUUGUUCGGAAUUAUUGGGCGUAAAGCGCGUGUAGGCGGCCUGGCAAGUUGGGUGUGAAAGCCCUCGGCUUAACCGAGGAAGUGCGCCCAAAACUACGAGGCUUGAGUACCGGAGAGGGUGGCGGAAUUCCCGGUGUAGAGGUGAAAUUCGUAGAUAUCGGGAGGAACACCAGUGGCGAAGGCGGCCACCUGGACGGAUACUGACGCUGAGACGCGAAAGCGUGGGGAGCAAA
rnacentral:rRNA from 1 species